AGCGAACGCUGGCGGCGUGCCUAACACAUGCAAGUCGAACGUGAAAGGGAGCAAUCCCACGUAAAGUGGCGUACGGGUGAGUAACACGUAGGUAAUCUACCCUAGAAUCUCGAUUAACCGGCCGAAAGGCUGGCUAAUACUGGAUAGAGCGACGGCACCCGUAAUUGGGUUUUUCGGGAAAGGGUGCCUGUAAAAAGGCCUUCGUUCUGGGAUGAGCCUGCGUCCCAUCAGCUAGUUGGUGAGGUAAAAGCUUACCAAGGCAAUGACGGGUAGCUGGUCUGAGAGGACGAUCAGCCACACUGGAACUGAAACACGGUCCAGACACCGACAGGAGGCAGCAGCGGGGAAUCUUGCGCAAUGGACGAAAGUCUGACGCAGCGACGCCACGUGAGUGAAGAGGGCCUUCGGGUUGUAAAGCUCUGUCGAGUGGGACGAAAAUGCUUGGAGUUCACAGCGCCAGGAACUGACGGUACCACUAAAGGAAGCACCGGCUAACUCCGUG
rnacentral:rRNA from 1 species